GUUUUGUUUUGUUUCUGUUUUUUAAUCAUUUUCAGAUGUUAUCCAGAAAUCUGCAAGUGUACUUUUCCUGUUUUAACUCCUUCCUUUUAUCACCUGACUAUCAGGGAAGCGAGGUUGAGGCUGCCCUGACCUGACAUGUCAUGAUGUCGACUUGCUAGGUGGGGUUCGCUGGGGACGAUAACCAGUGGAAUUAUUGGUAAGAACUUUUUUUUCCUAUUUUUUUUUUUUUUUUAAUCAGUAGCGGGGCAUUAAGUGUGGGAGAAUGCCCAUGUUCUAUAAGUGGGCAUUUAUGUCAGCCUUGUAGAAGAAUAAAACUUUAACACAAGAUAAUUCUGUUCAUAGUAGGAACAUAUAAACAUAUAAAAAGUAUUUCAUACCCUUUAUUCUCAAAUUCUUAGGUUAGCAGGAAAGGCCUGCAAGUUUGAAGUAAAGUAAUGAAAUACUCAGGGUAUAUUAUAAGUGGUCAAGAUAGACUAAAUCUCUUGGAGAAACAGUAAAUUUGCUUUAUUUUAUGUGAUUUUCAGUCCCUCUGAUAUCUUCAGUAUAUUUACAUUUUAUUGGAUAGAUUAUCUUAAAAGUUUUAGCAAUUUGACAAAUAAGAGUGGGCUCAGUUUAUAGAUACAUUUGAUAUGAUGACUUUAGGUCAAGAGGAAAUUAUGUAGCUGAAAUAUUAGGACCUUUUUAUAUAGGAGAAACAGAAAUCUAAGUCUAUCAACCUGUAUUUUGUCUAAACCCCAGGAGAGCUGAUGGGAUAAGUAGAUAUUGAUAGAAUUACAGUCGAUUUUUAGGUCAUUACUAAAGAGCAAAAUCUCAUACUCAGGAGAUUCCAUGAUGCUACAGUAUAAAUUGAGGGAAUUAAUAAUUAGGUAUUUCUGAAUACCACAUAAAAAAUAAUGUUAAGCACUGGUUAAAAGUAAUUAUGAAUUUUUAUGCCUAGAACCUCCUCAGUAUUCUCAUGCCUUCUUUGUUGGUUGGGUGUAUCAGUCUAGAAAGACUCUCCUAGGUAAUAAACAUGGACUAGUCAGUGUCAUGAAUAUUAACCCGAAUCUGUAAGCUUGCUGUAGACCAGAGGUAUAUGACUACCAUGAAAUUAUACUUUAAGAACUGCAGUGAUUGCAUCAUUGUGUUAAGUGUUUCUCUUCUGACACAUUUUAUGCAUGUAUAAGUGGCAGAACAGAUGGGAGUGUAGAACUUUUAGAUUGUACUUAAUAAUGUAUCAUCCUAGGGAAGUUUUACAAUUAGCAAUAGGAACACUCUAGUAGAGCUGAAAGUUCAUAUAAGUUAAGGAAAAUGCAGUGCAAACUUGUUGGCUUUUAUACACUAACAGUAAAAUACAUUUCAUGGGAGGAGGCAUUAUGGGGGAAAACUUAAAUUUCUCAAAUAUAAAAAAGGGCUUUCAGUUUCUGUAGUAACUUUGUCAGGAUCCCAUUGCUUAUCUUGAUGUCUCAUUUUUGAUGGCUGGACAAAGGUGACUUAUCUAGCCUGUUCAGUAACAUAGAUAGAAAUGUACUUUAAUGAGUUCUGUUAUGUUUAGUAUGUUAUAAGCCUAUUUCUAUAAUUGAGUUGAAAGCUCCUGCAAACAUUACAUUGCUGAUAGCAUACAAUAAUAUGAGAAUAUUGAAAUAGGUACAUUUGCAAGACCAUUUAAUCAAUAGUUUAAUAAAAAUCAUGCUUUUGGUACAGUGUUCAGGUACUAUAACUGUGUUGGAAUAUUUGUACAAUGUUAAAUAUUUUUAAUAAAAUCUAACAUGUUCAAA
rnacentral:lncRNA from 1 species